UCCGUUCAUGUAAAUAGAGUUCAAAUGCUAUUACAACGUUCCAUUAUUCUGAAAUUACACACUAAAUCUGAAUAACUGAACUACCAUAAGCUAUUAGCAUGAACCUAUACCCCCACAUAAACUAGAAAUUGAACUACUACUCGAUUGAAGCAUUCAUUCACAUGAAAUAGCAGUAAAUAACAGUAAUUGCAUCAGAGUCCAUUCAAACUUCAACUUGAAUUCCCAGAUCCUCAUGCAUGCUAGUCAUAAUUCAAUUCCAUGACAAGUUUAGAAGGUAUACCUGGAAAUUGCAAAAGGAAAAGAGGUGAAAGCAAUAAAUAGCAACAGAACAGCCCAAAUUUAUCGAUUGAAACACUAAAACCAGCUUGAAAAUUCAAUGGAAUAGUGAUUCUUAACAACUCGAAGCAGAAAACUCUUCCAAAACUCAAUAUCACUCUAUAUGAACUCUCAAAAUAAGUCAGAAAAUAUGUCAAGACUUGAAAACAUCAGAAAUUGACCAAGAAAGGAAAAGAAGAUUCAACGGAACAGUGAAACUCCUAUCCGUUUCUUUUUCUGGAUUUUAUAUCACUAAAAUUCUCUCUUGUUCUCCUCUGUUUCUUUUUUCCUCUUCUUAGCCCCCCCCCCCCCCCCCUCAAGAUCUGUAUUUUCCAGUCCUUAAAUAGGCAUUCAAUUAGUGCCAUUCCCAUUAUCAAUUCAACUUUUCUAUUUUUAAAUUAUCUACACUAGUUUAGUGCUUUUUAAUUAAUUCAGUUAGUGCAUUUCCUAAACCCUACCAUUAUAGAAGCUUCCUAAUGUUUGGUAAACACUUUUUUUGUUGAACAUUUCUCCAACUACCCCUUAAAAAUCCCCAUUUAUUUCUUAAAACAAACAGACAUGAGCCUAAUUGACCUAAAUUAAAUGGUCAUGGGUCUAUACAUCCCAAGUAGAAUCCCCUUUCUUGGGCUUCUAAUUCCAGACCCAAGUUCAAAUCAUCAAACAAACUUAUUGGCCUAAAUGACCUACAGAGUCAUAAGGACUUGUAAGGUUCUGGGCUUAAAGAAAAGUAGAAACAAAUAAACUCGAACAAAAUCUAAUACAACAAAUAGAAUCAUGCUUACUAAAAAAAACUUAAUCAAACAUACAUAUCAAAAAUGGCUCUAAGGAAACUGGAAAAUAAAAAAGAAAUCACGAAGAAGAGAAAGAGGCAAAAGAUAGUAAAACGAACGAAAAAAUGAAGAAAAGAUAACAAUAAGAAAAGAAAAAGUGCCUAAAAGAAAGGAUCGAAAAACAAAUAAACUGAAACAUCUUCAUGUCUUCAAAUUUAGGCCAAGUUUGACCUUAACCGUGUGUUCUUAUCAAGAACACAUGAAUAAAGCCAAACCAGACCUUAAUCAUCACUGAAAUCUCGAUUUCGGAUUUUUUGUGAUUUUUAAGGUUCAACAAUUGAUUCAAGAUUUGAGACGAUUGAGAGAGAUUCGAGGGUAACUGUAUUGAGGUUUGGAAAGAGGAGGGUGAGAGGAACCUGUGGUGUAAAGUUAGAAGUGAUUGGACCACCGGAACCGUCAUGAGGCAAUUUCCGGUAGGCGGAGUGAGGCGGUGAGAUAGGGGUGUCUCUGAAGAGAGGUGAGAGACGAAUGGGGGGG
rnacentral:lncRNA from 1 species